GACGAACGCUGGCGGCGUGCCUAAUACAUGCAAGUCGAGCGGACUUUCCGCAGUGCUUGGGCUCCGGAGGGUUAGCGGCGGACGGGUGAUUAACGCGUAGGCAACCCUCCCAUAAGACAUGGACACCAUUAGGAAAGGAAUGCUCUUAAUGGAUCGUCGGACUUCUUGCUGGUGGGUGUCGGGAGAGGCGUGGUAUUGUGCCGCCUCUGGAUCUGCCUGCGGGGUAGUAGGGAGGUGGGGGGGUAACGGCCUACCAGGGCGGCGAUGCGUAGCCGACCUGGGAGGGGGAUAGGCCACACGGGGACUGAGACACGGCCCAGAGUCCUACGAGAGGCAGCAGCAGGGACGCGUCGGCGAUGGGCGCAAUACUGACGGAGGAGCGCCGCGCGAGUGAGGAGGGCCUUCGGGUCGGAAAGCUCUGUUGCCAGGGAAGAACGGUCAGGGGAGUAACUGAGCUAGCCAUGACGGUACCUGAAAAGAAAGCCCCGGCUAACUACGUG
rnacentral:rRNA from 1 species